UGCUGUGGGGUCUCAAUGAGGUCCUUAUGGGAUCUCUAUGGGGUUUUGUCUGUAAGGCCUGGAGGAGGGCUCAGCCUCGUCUGCAAGGCCUCAGGGUUCACCUUCAGCAGUUAUAGCAUGGAAUGGGUGCGACAGGCACCAGGAAAGGGGCUGGAAUGGGUCGCUGGUAUUAGUGGUUCUGGUAGUAGCACAUACUACGCACCGGCGGUGCAGGGCCGUGCCACCAUCACGAGGGACAACGGGCAGAGCACAGUGAGGCUGCAGCUGAACAGCCUGAAGGACGAGGACUCGGCCAUGUAUUACUGCGCCAGAGAUGCUGAUAGUGCUGGUGGUUGUUGUAAUGCUGGUAGCAUCGACGCCUGGGGACACGGGACCGAAGUCGUCGUCUCGUCCGGUGAGUCCCUGACCCCAUUUUGGGGCAAAAUCAGCCGAUUUUGGGUCAGUCGGCCUCGAUUUGAUGACGGGAGAAAUUUUGGGGCCAAAAUGUGGAAAUUUGGGCAAAUUUGGGUUGGAAAUGGUGAUUUCGGGGCAUUUUGAGGGGACUUUUAGGUGGAAUUUGAGGGUGAUUUUGGGUCAAAAAUUGGCGAUUUUGGGUCAUUUUAGGGUGAAAAUUGAAUUUAGGGAGAAAAAAUGGAGGAUUUGGGUCAAAAAAAGGCAUUUUGGGGCAUUUUGAGCGUUUAUUUGGGGUGGAAUUUAGGUCAAAAAAUGGUGAUUUUGGGUCAUUUGAGGGAGAAUAUUGAAUUUAGGGAGAAAAAGGGUGAUUUUAGGUUAAAAAAAUGUCAAUUUUAGUCACUUUUUUGGGUCAAAAAUAGUGAUUUAGUGUCAUUUUAGGCAGAAAAUUGAAUUUAAGGCUGAUUUGGGUCAAAAAAUGGUGAUUUUGGGUCAUUUUAGUGAGAAAAAUGAAUUUAGGGAGAAAAAUGUUAUAUUUGGGUCAAAAAUUGAAUUUCGGGCACUUUUAUGGGUCAAAAAUGGUGAUUUUGUAUCAUUUUAGGCAGAAAAUUGAAUUUAAGGCACAUUUGGGUCAAAAACAUUGUUUUUGGGUCAUUUUAGCCAGAAAAUUGAAUUUUUGGCAAUUUUUGGGGUCAAAAAAUGUUGAUUUUGGGUCAUUUGAGGGAGGAAAAUUAAUGUAAAAAAUUUCAGGGCAAAUUUGGGUCAAAAAUGCCGAUUUUGGGUCAUUUGAGGGAGAAAAUUGAAUUUUGGGCAAAUUUGGGUCAAAAAAUGGUGAUUUUGGGUCAUUUUAGGGAGGAAAAUUAAUGUUCGAAAUUUCAGGUCAAGUUUGGGUCAAAUAUGGCGAUUUUGGGUCAUUUUACAAUGAAAAUUUAAUUUAGGGCAAUUUUUUGGGUCAAAAAAUGGUGAUUUUGGGUCAUCUUAGGGAGAAAAUUGAAUUUGAGACACAUUUUUGGGUCAAAAAAUGUUGAUUUUGUGUCAUUUUAGGCAGAAAAUUGAAUUUAGGGAGAAAAAUGGUAAAUCAGGGUUAAAAAUUGGAUUUUGGGCACUUUUUUGGGUCAAAAAAUUGUGAUUUUGGGUCAUUUUGGGAAGGAAAAAUUAAUGUAGGGAAUGUGAGGGCAAAUUUGGGUCAAAAAAUGGCGAUUUUGGGUCAUUUUAGGGAGAAAACUGAAUUUAGGGCAAAUUUGGGUC